CGUGGAGACAGGUGGUGCAUGGCUGUCGUCAGCUCGUGUCGUGAGAUGUUGGGUUAAGUCCCGCAACGAGCGCAACCCUCACCCCUAGUUGCCACCGGGUUAAGCCGAGCACUCAAGGGGAACUGCCAGCGUCAAGCUGGAGGAAGGCGGGGAUGACGUCAAGUCAUCAUGCCCCUUACGCCCUGGGCUACACACGUGCUACAAUGGCCAGUACAAAGGGACGCGAGACUGCGAAGUGGAGCUAAUCCCAAAAAGCUGGUCUAAGUUCAGAUUGCAGUCUGCAACUCGACUGUAUGAAGAAGGAAUCGCUAGUAAUCGCGUAUCAGCCCGGCGCGGUGAAUACGUUCCCGGGCCUUGUACACACCGCCCGUCACACCACGAAAGCUGUCUGUACUCGAAGUCGCUGAG
rnacentral:rRNA from 1 species